UUUCUACUCCCUCCGUCUGAAAAUACUUGUCAUCCAAAUGGAUAAAAAGAGAUGUAUCUAAAACUAAAAUACGUCUAGAUACAUUUCCUUUUAUCCAUUUUGAUGACAAGUAUUUCCGGACGGAGGGAGUAUUUG
rnacentral:pre_miRNA from 1 species